UCAGAGUAUCUGUUUUGCAGGACAUUCAAGGAUCUUGGUUUUCAAAGAAUGCCUCCCACACAGCCUCUAAAAAUCAGUUCAUUCUGAAGCAUCCAUCUGGCAUCCAGAAGCUGAGAAUGCUAUUUCAGAAAUCAUGCCUGGAAAUGCCAAAUCACUAAAGUUGCAAAAGAGAGCAGUUGAAAACACCAAGCAGGACUCAAGCACGACUACAGAAGAGGAGAGAGCUGUUUGCUCAAGAGUGAAUUACUACAACACACUGUAUUUGGGAAUAUAAACCUUGAAGACAACAGAAGCCAUUCAUUUGUCUUUCAAUGAUUUGAAGGUGUUCUGGCAAUUGCAACCCUGACCAGUGGACUGGAGUCCUCACAUCUGGUGUGUGCUGCCACCAGACCCCCACAAAUGCACGAGAAUACACAGGAAGAUUUCCUGGGGACCUGCACCUGGACACCGAGCUAAAAAGCUGCAUAAAGGGCAGGAGGAAUGCCUGCCAAAGUGUGCACUUCUACCACUCUACCAAGGGUGAACCUCCACCAGACUACCAGAGCUGCACCACCACCAGAAGAACCCCUGAUGAACUCCACAGAAGAUCAGCCCUGGGCCAUGCACCCAUCUCUCUCUCUCCCCCAUCUGUGACUGAGGGUAAUAUGAGGCUCUUUUCCUUUCCCGUUUCUUCUCUUCUUCUCCAUUGUUCUCUUUCUCUCCCCCUUCUCUCUCUCCCUUUGUUUUGUCCAACUUAAUCAUUUAAUAAAUAGAGGUGAUAUAUGACCUCAUUUGCACCUUAA